rnacentral:rRNA from 1 species
GAUGAACGCUGGCGGCGUGCCUAAUACAUGCAAGUCGAGCGAACAGAUGAGGAGCUUGCUCCUCUGACGUUAGCGGCGGACGGGUGAGUAACACGUGGAUAACCUACCUAUAAGACUGGGAUAACUUCGGGAAACCGGAGCUAAUACCGGAUAAUAUAUUGAACCGCAUGGUUCAAUAGUGAAAGACGGUUUUGCUGUCACUUAUAGAUGGAUCCGCGCCGCAUUAGCUAGUUGGUAAGGUAACGGCUUACCAAGGCAACGAUGCGUAGCCGACCUGAGAGGGGGAUCGGCCACACUGGAACGGAGACACGGUCCAGACUCCUACGGGAGGCCGCAGUAGGGAAUGUUGCGCAAUGGGCGAAAGCCUGACGGAGCAACGCCGCGUGAGUGAUGAAGGUCUUCGGAUCGUAAAACUCUGUUAUUAGGGAAGAACAAUUGUGUAAGUAACUAUGCACGUCUUGACGGUACCUAAUCAGAAAGCCACGGCUAACUACGUG